rnacentral:rRNA from 1 species
CCUACGGGGGGCAGCAGUGGGGAAUAUUGGGCAAUGGGCGAAAGCCUGACCCAGCAAUGCCGCGUGAAUGAAGAAGGUCUUAGGAUUGUAAAAUUCUGUCCUAUGGGAAGAAACAAAUGACGGUACCAUAGGAGGAAGCCCCGGCUAACUACGUGCCAGCAGCCGCGGUAAUACGUAGGGGGCGAGCGUUGUCCGGAAUUACUGGGCGUAAAGAGAGCGUAGGCGGCACUACAAGUCUCAUGUGAAAUACCCGGGCUUAACUUGGGGGUUGCAUGGGAAACUGUAGAGCUUGAGUACAGGAGAGG